UACGUAGGGUGCGAGCGUUAAUCGGAAUUACUGGGCGUAAAGCGUGCGCAGGCGGUGAUGUAAGACAGAUGUGAAAUCCCCGGGCUCAAACUGGGAACUGCAUUUGUGACUGCAUCGCUGGAGUGCGGCAGAGGGGGAUGGAAUUCCGCGUGUAGCAGUGAAAUGCGUAGAUAUGCGGAGGAACACCGAUGGCGAAGGCAAUCCCCUGGGCCUGCAUUGACGCUCAUGCACGAAAGCGUGGGGAGCAAACAGG
rnacentral:rRNA from 1 species